GUUAGCAGUGGAGGUUUGUCCCAGUACAAGAGAGGCAAAAGGUAGGACCUAGCCAAAGAUGGAGUCCUGUGUUCUGACGAUCUCCAGUGUGUCCGGACAGCCUGACAGUGUGGAGCCCUUUGUGGCUUGAUAGUGACUUUAAUACUCUAAUUCAAUUCCGUCCAGAUGCCAUGUAUGCAUUGUUUUGCUAUUGUUGAGCAUUAAAAUUAUUGUUGA